rnacentral:rRNA from 1 species
GACGAACGCUGGCGGCGUGCUUAACACAUGCAAGUCGAACGGAAAGGCCUGCUUUCCCUUGUGGAUUGCGGGUACUCGAGUGGCGAACGGGUGAGUAACACGUGAGUGAUCUGCCCCCAACUUGGGUAUAAGCCUGGGAAACUGGGUCUAAUUCCCGAUAGGACUGCAGGGUGGUGCCCGUGGUGGAAAACGAUUUUCUAGUGGUUGGGGAUGAGCUCGCGGCCUAUCAGCUUGUUGGUGGGGUAAUGGCCUACCAAGGCGGCGACGGGUAGCCGGCCUGGGGGGGGGGCGGGGCAAAUUGGGACUGGGAUAGGGCCCAGACCCAGCGGGGGGGCAGCAGUGGGGAAUAUUGCACAAGGGGCGGAAGCCGGGUGCGGCGGCGCCGGGUGGGGGAGGGCGGCCUUGGGGUUGAAAACCCCUUGCGACCGGGGGGAAGCCACCUGGUUGGAAGGGUGGUGACGGUAGUGGUAGAAGAAGCACCGGCUAACUACGU